GUCCGCGUAGCUCAAUUGGACAGAGCGGCUCCCUCCUAAGGAGCAGGUUGCAGGUUCGAAUCCUGCCGCGGACA
rnacentral:tRNA from 1 species